AGUGAACGCUGGCGGUAGGCCUAACACAUGCAAGUCGAACGGCAGCACAGUAAGAGCUUGCUCUUACGGGUGGCGAGUGGCGGACGGGUGAGGAAUACAUCGGAAUCUACUUUUUCGUGGGGGAUAACGUAGGGAAACUUACGCUAAUACCGCAUACGACCUACGGGUGAAAGCAGGGGAUCUUCGGACCUUGCGCGAUUGAAUGAGCCGAUGUCGGAUUAGCUAGUUGGCGGGGUAAAGGCCCACCAAGGCGACGAUCCGUAGCUGGUCUGAGAGUAUGAUCAGCCACACUGGAACUGAGACACGGUCCAGACUCCUACGGGAGGCAGCAGUGGGGAAUAUUGGACAAUGGGCGCAAGCCUGAUCCAGCCAUACCGCGUGGGUGAAGAAGGCCUUCGGGUUGUAAAGCCCUUUUGUUGGGAAAGAAAAGCAGCAGGUUAAUACCCCGCUGUUCUGACGGUACCCAAAGAAUAAGCACCGGCUAACUUCGU
rnacentral:rRNA from 1 species